CACAGGGACUGCAAAGAGCUUGGAGAGUGACAAGACACCAACCCAGAGGUCCUCUGGCCCCUGUGCAGCUUUGGCCAUUGUCCUCUAACAUUUGGCACCCAGGGUCUUACCCGACACCCUUGCAGUGCCCAGUUGUCAAAAGUAGAAGGGGAUCUCAGCACACCAUGGCAGGGUUCUGAUCUGGGCUCCCUCCUAGAUUGGAAUCACAACUUGCAUUAUCCAGAGGCCCUGCUGGAUGAUGGCUUGAAACACUUGAGAAAUGCUGGACGUGUGUCUGCAGGCAGGACUUUCCCAGCUCCUGGGUUGGUAACUGUACGCAAGCCCGGCUCCCAUCGCAGGGGUCCUCCAAGUGGAAAGAACAAAGCUGCAGGACACCAGAAACUCCAUGUGCCAUCAAAACCCAUGAAACAAAUGCUGAA